rnacentral:snRNA from 1 species
AGCUUUGCAGAGUGGCAAUAUUGUAGCCAAUGAGUUUUAUCCGAGGCGCAAUUAUUGCUAAUUGAAAAAAAAAAUUCAUCAAACUAUACAUAAGAGUCUAUGAUCUAUCUCAAUAUACCUGACUUUAGAAAAUGAGCUGCUCA